ACUCAGAAAUCCACCUGCCUCUGCCUGCUGAGCACUGGAAUCAAAGGUGUGUGCCACCAGCUCUCAAAUUUAUUUUCUUUUUCCAAGACAGGAUCAGUAUCUACCCCAGCCCAAGCUGGCCUUGAAUUUGCCCUUCUGCCUCAGCCGUGCAAGCGCUCUGCCUGAGUUAGACUAUGAUGAGAGACAAACCCUCACCUUCGGUCAGCUGUGUGUGGUAGGCCCUAGGUGCCUGCCAGGCUCAGGCCUCAAGAGCUCUUGAGCAGGUGACAUAUGACUAUCCAGUUGCAGCAGAUAGGCACACAGAGAAUGUCCGUUUGUCCCUUUGCAGCCUACACUGAAGCAAGGUGGAACUGGUGGCAUGAGAGGCAUCACCCUUGGAACCUGGACAUAGACAGAGCUCAGCUGUUCUACACUGAAUGAAGUAAUGACAGGGCUGAUAGGAGGGAUUAUGGGUAUCAGAGGCUGGGUAUGACCCCAGGAAGAGUCUCCUGUGAGCUGGGAAGACCUCAUCUUAAUGGGCAAACAGUGUUUCCAGCCCAACGCUAGCCUUUUAGGAAAAGGGCCAACUGAUUGUCAAUACAUUUUGAUUAAAAACUAAAUAAAUAAAUAAAAAUAAAAAUGUAUCCUCGGCGCUCACUCUCAAUAAGCUGUCAUUUCUUAAACUCUUAAAAUUUAUGUGCCAGAGUGUUCGUUCACCCAACCUCAAACCCAAGUUUCUACAUAUGUGAUUGUCCCAGAAGAGACUCAAAAGUGCCGAAAAACAAUUUUAUUGUUGUUGUUUUGAGAUAGUCUCUCUGCAUAGCCCCGACUGUCCUGUUUACAGACUUUGAGAAAACAUGUGGUUUUCCUGACUGCUGUUACAUGAAAAUAUACCCCCAGUUCCCUCUGCUCCACAUCAGAUGGUUUAGAUACUUACAGCAACAACGAUAACAAAAGACAAGGCCCGGCUACCUCUUCAUUGUACAACUUAGAAAUGACAUUUGGUCUCUGGACUCAGCUUUUGCCAAAGCAUUAAAAUUUAAAAUCUUGCUU
rnacentral:lncRNA from 1 species